AUUAUCUUCUUUUUGAAGUUUGUUGUAUAGACAUGCAUUAUGUCAUGGAAAGCAGGGAUGGCUUUUUUAAACAUUUUAAUAUAUUACGAAUAAAAAAAUUAUGUGUUGAAAAUUUAAAAAUAAAAAAAUAUUGUUUUUAAAAAACGACAUAGUUAAUCAUUUCCAAUGACCCGUAUGUAAAUUCCCUAAUGAGGAAGUAAAUUUUCCUUCCUUCUUAAGUUGGAAGUACAAACUGAUUUUGCUGUUUACACAGUACAGGAUAUUCCAGUAAAAAGCGAAAAUGUUACCGAACGUACUAGUCUGGAGACGUAUUUUAACAAAUUGAGGUGCUUUAAACUUAACAGUUGACACUCAAUUUCAAAACGCGGCUCUUCAUUUCACGAGACGCCGAACUGCAACAGCGACGCCAAACAGGGAUACGUGAGAUGUUUUGGCAAGGCUGGAGGACUUGAAGAAGUGCAAGGCUGCUGCGCAGAAGGGGGUGCUUGUGGAGGUUUGUUUAUUCGCAGGAUUAUACACAUCAAGCAUCAGUCUUUUGGGUUAGCCUUCAUCCGUUUGGAAACGGAUCAUUAUCUUAACCUCCGAGCGACUCUCUGUUCCUCUGUCGCAGCGGUGCCAAUUCUGAAAACCGAUCGUAGUUUUGACAUGAUGCUGAACUGCUCUCCUGCGGCCCAGGAUACAUCUGUAAACAUUGGCUAAAUGAAGUCGUGGGGUUCUCACAAUGAAACACCCCCUGCUCCCACCCCCCUGAUGGCCCUUCCAUCCUUCAGAUAUCCAAUGGAUGUGCUAAAACCCCCGCUGUGUCUGGUCCUUUAGCAGCAGACCUGUCACAAAGCCUCACACCUCGUGGCCGGCUCAGCGGCCCGUCUCUGGCUCCCAUCUCUGACAUCUGCUCAGGGUUGGGGUUUCAUUCAAGAGGGGGGCAGAGGGAGUCAAUCUGCUCUUUUAAAAGAGCCUCACAGUGCCCUGGGUGCUGAUGGGGAGGAAUGAAGUAUCUGCACCAUUUCUCUUGCUGGCACCACUGGUGUGCUAUUCUCCAUCCCUUCCCCAUCAACGCCACCACAAUUUAAAGCCGUCUUUCAUAUCCUCCCACGGCUCCAGAUUGACAGGCAUCAGACAGUUCAGGUGAUGAGGAGGAGAGGGUGUGAAUGGAGAUAGAGAGGUG
rnacentral:lncRNA from 1 species